rnacentral:piRNA from 1 species
UGCAAAGCCUUGGAUCUCACCUGAAC